rnacentral:rRNA from 1 species
GACGAACGCUGGCGGCGUGCUUAACUCAUGCAAGUCGAACGGUGAAGCUCCAGCUUGCUGGAGUGGAUCAGUGGCGAACGGGUGAGUAACACGUGAGCAACCUGCCCCUGACUCUGGAAUAAGCGCUGGAAACGGCGUCUAAUACUGGAUACGAGAAGGGUCCGCAUGGGCACUUUCUGGAAAGUUUUUCGGUUGGGGAUGGGCUCGCGGCCUAUCAGCUUGUUGGUGAGGUAAUGGCUCACCAAGGCGACGACGGGUAGCCGGCCUGAGAGGGCGACCGGCCACACUGGGACUGAGACACGGCCCAGACUCCUACGGGAGGCAGCAGUGGGGAAUAUUGCACAAUGGGCGAAAGCCUGAUGCAGCGACGCCGCGUGAGGGAUGACGGCCUUCGGGUUGUAAACCUCUUUCAGCAGGGAAGAAGCGAAAGUGACGGUACCUGCAGAAGAAGCACCGGCUAACUACGUG